GCUCCGGUAGUAUAGUCCGGUCAAACCUUAUUAAGGGACCAUGUAUAACGGCCUCUCGAGCCGUGGACCCGGGUUCAAAUCCCGGCCGGAGCACCA
rnacentral:tRNA from 1 species